rnacentral:rRNA from 1 species
UGCCUAGGAAUCUGCCUGGUAGUGGGGGACAACGUUUCGAAAGGAACGCUAAUACCGCAUACGUCCUACGGGAGAAAGCAGGGGACCUUCGGGCCUUGCGCUAUCAGAUGAGCCUAGGUCGGAUUAGCUAGUUGGUGAGGUAAUGGCUCACCAAGGCGACGAUCCGUAACUGGUCUGAGAGGAUGAUCAGUCACACUGGAACUGAGACACGGUCCAGACUCCUACGGGAGGCAGCAGUGGGGAAUAUUGGACAAUGGGCGAAAGCCUGAUCCAGCCAUGCCGCGUGUGUGAAGAAGGUCUUCGGGUUGUAAAGCACUUUAAGUUGGGAGGAAGGGUUGUAGAUUAAUACUCUGCAAUUUUGACGUUACCGACAGAAUAAGCACCGGCUAACUCUGUGCCAGCAGCCGCGGUAAUACAGAGGGUGCAAGCGUUAAUCGGAAUUACUGGGCGUAAAGCGCGCGUAGGUGGUUCGUUAAGUUGGAUGUGAAAUCCCCGGGCUCAACCUGGGAACUGCAUUCAAAACUGUCGAGCUAGAGUAUGGUAGAGGGUGGUGGAAUUUCCUGUGUAGCGGUAAAAUGCGUAGAUAUAGGAAGGAACACCAGUGGCGAAGGCGACCACCUGGACUGAUACUGACACUGAGGUGCGAAAGCGUGGGGAGUAAACAGGAUUAGAUACCCUGGUAGUCCACGCCGUAAACGAUGUCAACUAGCCGUUGGGAGCCUUGAGCUCUUAGUGGCGCAGCUAACGCAUUAAGUUGACCGCCUGGGGAGUACGGCCGCAAGGUUAAAACUCAAAUGAAUUGACGGGGGCCCGCACAAGCGGUGGAGCAUGUGGUUUAAUUCGAAGCAACGCGAAGAACCUUACCAGGCCUUGACAUCCAAUGAACU